GCUAAGUUCAAGUUGUCUGUGGGCAAUCCAAGGGGAGGUGUCAAGUAGGCCAUCGGAUACAUGAGUCUGGAUUUCAAGGAGAAAUCCUGGCUGGAAACAUGAACUCGGGAAAUAGGAACUCAGCUUCUAGUUGGAAGCAAGACCACCAGCAGGGUGAGGAGAAAGGAGGCGUGGUUGGACUUUGGAGGACAGAGGAGAAGAGAGAAUGAGAGAGAGCACGCGCUCAAGCAGGGGGAGCGACAGGCAGAGGGAGAAGCAGGCUCCCCACUGAGCAAGCAGCCGGAACCGAACCGCUGAGGGAGUCGAUCCCGGGACCC